UACGGAGGAUGCGAGCGUUAUCCGGAUUUAUUGGGUUUAAAGGGUGCGUAGGCGGGCUGUUAAGUCAGCGGUCAAAUCGUGGGGCUCAACCCCAUCCAGCCGUUGAAACUGGGGAUCUAGAGUGUGCGAGAGGUAUGCGGAAUGCGUGGUGUAGCGGUGAAAUGCAUAGAUAUCACGCAGAACUCCGAUUGCGAAGGCAGCAUACCGGCGCCCAACUGACGCUGAAGCACGAAAGCGUGGGUAUCGAACAGG
rnacentral:rRNA from 1 species